rnacentral:rRNA from 1 species
UACGGAGGGUGCAAGCGUUAUCCGGAUUCACUGGGUUUAAAGGGUGCGUAGGUGGGUUGGUAAGUCAGUGGUGAAAUCUCCGGGCUUAACCCGGAAACUGCCAUUGAUACUAUUUGUCUUGAAUACUGUGGAGGUCAGCGGAAUAUGUCAUGUAGCGGUGAAAUGCUUAGAUAUGACAUAGAACACCAAUUGCGAAGGCAGCUCACUACACAAUCAUUGACGCUGAGGCACGAAAGCGUGGGGAUCAAACAGG